rnacentral:rRNA from 1 species
UCGCCUGUUUAUCAAAAACAUAACUACAAGGUUUUUGUUGUAGCAAUUUCUGCUCAAUGAUUUUGAUUAAAUAGCCGCAGUACUCUGACUGUGCAAAGGUAGCAUAAUCAGUUGUCUUAUAAUUGAAGUCUAGUAUGAAUGAAUAUAUGGAUAAUGACUGUUUCUGUAGUUUACAUUGAAUUUAAUUAAAAAGUGCAAAUGCUUUUUUUGAAAAUUUAGACGAGAAGACCCUAGAAAUUUGGCUUUAGGAAUUUUGUUGGGGCGACAAGGUAACAUACUAACUUACCUUAAUAAUAAGCAAAGUGAUAUUUGGUAGAUAAAAUUACUCUAGGGAUAACAGCAUAAUUUAUUAUAAGUUUGUGACCUCGAUGUUGGAUUAGGAAAAUUAGUUGCUUAGAAAGUAACUAUUUUGGUUCUGUUCGAACUUAAUCUCCUACGUGAUCUGAGUUCAGACCGGA